UGAGGAAUAUUGGUCAAUGGCCGGAAGGCUGAACCAGCCAAGUCGCGUGAGGGACUAAGGCCCUACGGGUCGUAAACCUCUUUUGUCGGGGAGCAAUGGGUGACUUGCGAGUCAUCAGGGAGAGUACCCGAAGAAAAAGCAUCGGCUAACUCCGUGCC
rnacentral:rRNA from 1 species